UUGCUCGAGACUCUCUGAUGACCAUUUCUGCCACUCGAAGCACAACAACAUGUGAGUUAUGGCCUCCGCCUAUCUGAAAUGCAGACAAAAGUUACUUUACUACAUCUGAGUUGUUAGUUAUACCAUCAGCCAGACCACAUAAGAUAAGAUAAGAUAAGAUAAGAUAAGAUAAGAUAAGAUAAGAUAAGAUGUACCUUUAUUAAUCCCUGUGGGAGGUUUACACAGGGAUAUGAAACACACAUUUAAAAAUAUAAAAUUCUAAAAACUAAAAAAAUGAAUAUAUACAGAUAAGUAACGAGACUAUUGUUAAAAAUAUACACAUGUAUGUGUUCAGAAAGAGAGUGCAUGUCAAAGUUACUGUGCAAAAGUGCUAAAGCGCAGGCUUUAUGUGCAGUCCGGGUUAUUGUCAGUGAGUCACAUGGUUAACCCCUUGUUGUGCAGCCUAAUGGCUACAGGCACAAAGGAGUUUCCCAGCUGUCUAGUGCUGUGCUGCGGUUUUGUUCAGCUUGGCAGGCUACAACAUUUAACACUUAUUCAUCUCAUUUAACAGAAAUAAAGUGUUGCGUGCACAUGAUACUGAUGAAAGAUAUCUGUGAAGAUUGUCUCUUACUUAGUUUUAGGAAGUGUUUGAAACGGGAAGUUCACUUUGAUGUGGAUGAAUUGAGAACAAAAGGAUCUAGUAGUUAAAAGUACAUGUCCUGUGUCACAUCUUUCAACAUUCCUGGUCUACAUAAAACACCCUGUAACAUUUAUUUAUGAUAACAAAGGAGUCAUGCAAAGGGUUGAGAAUAAUAUGCUCAAUUCUUAUUCCUGGGUUUAUGCUAAAGUUACUAUAGGUAUAUACUGUAUAGGUACACAUGUCAUUUUUUGGCAUUUGACAAAGGGGUUUUAAAUACAGGUGAUGACAUUUAAUCAAGCAAACAUUUCAGACAAGACUCAAAGACCGAUCAUGAAGAACCGGCUCAACUUGUUUUACAGCAUAUCCAUUGUAUAACAGCAAAGUAACUACUAACUAUAACUGAGGGAUGUAUGAAUGGAGUAAAACUAAAUAUAUUUUCCUCUGAAAUGUAGUAAACAUUAAAUGUAAAAAAUGAGUAAAUUAAAAAUACCGUAAAAUUGUACUACAGUGCUUUAGUUAUAGUACUUUUCACCAGUUUAAACUUGAACUAAAAAGUGUUAUGCAGAUAGCAGUAGAUUCCUGUAACAGUCAGUGGAGGGUGUUUAUCUACCUGUCCCGCAGGUUGUUUGGAGAAGGCAUCCACCAACUUCUCCACCCCGUAGUGCAUGAGUAGGGAUGUGUUGUACAUAAACUGAGAGUAUGGGAUGUCAUCGCCGUCGAUGAGGAAGCUGUCAGGCAUCAGCGGGUGCCAGUGGUAGAUGUGGCAGAACUCCAGAGCGAUGCGGUUGUUGUACUGGAACUGCGCGUUGAAGAGCAGACUGGGAUCGAACUUCAGAUCCAGAAGUCGCAGAGAGAGAGGAUGUGUGGCAGCUGACACCUGUUUGAGAAUUAAACUGCAAAAGUUUGCACUUGUAAUGCUCACCAAUGAUGAUGAGUCUAGUGGUUUGAAAGAGCUGCUCAUCGUCCCAGGUGGGAUGUUCUACCUUCAGGACGUCACAGACUCGGUUGUGCUCCCUCAGCCAUACGGUGGCGUACAUGGUGAGUCCCGGCAGGAGGCCAAACACUUCCUGACCAGUUACCAGACGCUUCUCUGGAGGGAAGUCUUCAGGGUACACCAUGUGCACAGGGACCUCUGAUACUGUGGGGGGGUACAUCUCACCGUUUACUAACUGUAACAAACACAAAAAGAAGUCCACAUAUGAGAGAGAAGUCUUCAUUCUGGGUUGUUUAAACAUUAUUUAAUUGCAUAUUUCUUAAUAAAGUAAUUUUUUUUGUGCAUGUCAUUACAGAAUUGAGAAUACUUGCUGGUGGAAAAAGUGUUUAGCUUUUGAUAAAUAGUGUUUGAGGAAGUUUCCUAUCAAACCCCAUCACAAGUUAAAGGCGUCAUGUGCCUUUGAGUGUUAUCUCUCUUUAACCACUAUAUAAUUAUCACUGCUAACUGGAAAUUGUAUGACCACAUUCUCAGUAAUUAUCAUGACACAGGAAGUAAACGUUCUUAAGCUGAUCUUUAGAUAUGCAUGUAUAAACAUUUGAUAUACUAAUUUAAAUAGUUUUACAGUUCCUCAAAUGAUAUGACUGCAAAAUUACGUUUUGGCAAUUCAUGUUAUUUGCCUUGUUCAGAGUUAGAGGAGAAUAUUAAUACCCCUCCCAGACAUUUGAGUAGUACUAAUCUUCUCAUCUAUCUCACAGCAAAAAAGUGCACUCUCAAAAUGUCAUAAAUGUUUUUAUUACCUGAUAUUUCAGCUUUCCAUCUUCAUGAAGCCGUAGGUGAAGCUGUCGCAUAAGGUUGUCUCCAUAGAUAUUGCUCGCAUCUACCUGGGAAGAGGGAAAUACAUACAUCUGUUAAUAUUUUCAACACCAAGAAAUAAUGAAAGAGUCAUAUGGUGAUUAACACAGAAUGUGAGUUUAAUCUCACCCCAUGUCCUAAAGCCUUGGUGAAGCCACCUUUUACUUCCUGGUUUGUCUUGAAGAACUGGUGAGUGAAGUGUUGCGCCAUGAAAGCAAACAUCACGUUGGUUCCCUGAGGGUCUGGCCUGAAUGUCUUUCUCUUAAAAAAGCUCUCGGCCAACACUUUGGGAUCAGGAAGCUGAGGUUUACCUGUAGUGAAAGUGAUGUUUAAAGAUUUUCGCAGAGCUCAGCCGACUGUGUGUAGUUUUUCAGGUCUCACCUUUAGUUCCCAUCGGCAACGGGCAGUCUUUAGGUACAGGAGGGAGGAGACGGGUGUAGUAGGACAUGUUGGAAUAAGACUCCCAGCUGAGGUAUUCAUAUUUAGUAUUGUAGGUUGGAGGGCUUGGAAUAAGGUUGCUUCUGACUUUGGGAGAAUGGGACAAUAUUAACAUUGUCUGUUCAUAAUUUAAAUACCAGAGUAUAACUCAAUAAAAUGCUGAGGAAAAAUGUUAGCUGCAAUCAACAUCCAUUGAUUUAUCUACUGUGGUUCUUUAUCUUUACCAUGACACUUUUCACCUACCAGUCAGCACUAAUCUCAUUAACGUGUCUCGCAGGAAAGAGUUGUUUACGAGGUCCCAGAACCAGUGGAAGUGUGUGAGGAAGAAGUGAACCGCCGUAGGCCUCGGCUUCAGCAUGAGACGAACUCUGGUCCAAAGCUCCGCUACACACAAAGAUCAAGCAAAAGUUAUCUUUGUCACAUUUCAAAUUAAGCAUUCUGUGUAAGGGGUUGGGAGUCAUCUUACUAAAUAAUGUAUUAAUGCUUUAUAGAUGACUUAGGCUUUAUUGAGAACAUUUUUUUUAUUAUCAGGUGGUAAAACAUCCCUCAAAAAUGACUCUUUCUUAAUGUUUUUUAGCUCUAUAAUGUGGUAGAGGGUUACAGUCGUCUAUGGGACUGUUCUGGAAAAGACCUGCAGGGCAUCUGAAGUACAAUGUAUUGAAUAACAAACUUAUAUAUAUUUACAACUUAAGGCUUUAUGAAUUUCUGAAGGACUGAAAACCAAAAUAAACACAUACCAUAAUUGCAGUACUAAUAUUCCUUUAUCUACUCGACAUUGAGCACUUCCUUUAUGCUUGUUUUUCUUAAGUUUCUAAAUUGACAUUACCACCAGCACAACAAUUGAUGGAUUGGGGAUAUAUGUGUGCAAUGGAGGUAACAGGGGAGCUUGAAAUCGCUACUUGAAAAGGUUGAAAAGAAAUCCACUGUGUUUUUUCAAAUAAACCACAUCCAGAUGUUGA